AGUGAACGCUGGCGGUAGGCCUAACACAUGCAAGUCGAACGGCAGCACAGGAGAGCUUGCUCUCUGGGUGGCGAGUGGCGGACGGGUGAGGAAUACAUCGGAAUCUACUCUGUCGUGGGGGAUAACGUAGGGAAACUUACGCUAAUACCGCAUACGACCUACGGGUGAAAGCAGGGGAUCUUCGGACCUUGCGCGAUUGAAUGAGCCGAUGUCGGAUUAGCUAGUUGGCGGGGUAAAGGCCCACCAAGGCGACGAUCCGUAGCUGGUCUGAGAGGAUGAUCAGCCACACUGGAACUGAGACACGGUCCAGACUCCUACGGGAGGCAGCAGUGGGGAAUAUUGGACAAUGGGCGCAAGCCUGAUCCAGCCAUACCGCGUGGGUGAAGAAGGCCUUCGGGUUGUAAAGCCCUUUUGUUGGGAAAGAAAUCCAGCUGGCUAAUACCCGGUUGGGAUGACGGUACCCAAAGAAUAAGCACCGGCUAACUUCGUGCCAGCAGCCGCGGUAAUACGAAGGGUGCAAGCGUUACUCGGAAUUACUGGGCGUAAAGCGUGCGUAGGUGGUCGUUUAAGUCCGUUGUGAAAGCCCUGGGCUCAACCUGGGAACUGUAGUGGAUACUGGGCGACUAGAGUGUGGUAGAGGGUAGCGGAAUUCCUGGUGUAGCAGUGAAAUGCGUAGAGAUCAGGAGGAACAUCCAUGGCGAAGGCAGCUACCUGGACCAACACUGACACUGAGGCAC
rnacentral:rRNA from 1 species